AUUCCAUGGUGUGGACAUUGCCUCGGCAACUCUUUGAAUCUUUCCCAAGCAUCAAAUAAAGACUCAUCUUCUCCUUUCCUAAAUGAAAUGAUUUCAUUUCUCAUUUU